rnacentral:rRNA from 1 species
AUUGAACGCUGGCGGCAGGCCUAACACAUGCAAGUCGAACGGCAGCACGGGCUUCGGCCUGGUGGCGAGUGGCGAACGGGUGAGUAAUGCGUCGGAACGUGCCGAGUAAUGGGGGAUAACGCAUCGAAAGGUGUGCUAAUACCGCAUACGCUCUGAGGAGGAAAGCGGGGGACCUUCGGGCCUCGCGUUAUUCGAGCGGCCGACGUCUGAUUAGCUAGUUGGUGGGGUAAAGGCUCACCAAGGCGACGAUCAGUAGCGGGUCUGAGAGGAUGAUCCGCCACACUGGGACUGAGACACGGCCCAGACUCCUACGGGAGGCAGCAGUGGGGAAUAUUGGACAAUGGGCGCAAGCCUGAUCCAGCCAUGCCGCGUGUGUGAAGAAGGCCUUCGGGUUGUAAAGCACCUUUGUUCGGGAAGAAAUCGUGCGGAUUAAUACUUCGUACGGAUGACGGUACCGAAAGGAUAAGCACCGGCUAACUUCGUGCCAGCCGCCGCCGUAACAC